GAUAAAAUCAACGAUAACAAUAUUAUAUAUCAUCCAAAAAAUUCAUACAUUAUUAUACAAAUGAACCAAAUAUCAAGUAUACAUCAUCGUUGCAUAUUCCGAUUCAAAAUUGAAAAUACCAAUUACCUUAUAGCUAAAACAAAAAUCUAUCAUACAAUGUUUCUAGCACCAAGUCCUCAAGAACUAGUUAAUCAACCUGCUAUGAUUCUCUGGUUGUCUUUUGACCUCAAGCCAUCCCAAGCUACCAUAAAUUUAUUACGCAUUCUUCUAGUUGCCUCAUGCUCAAAAGCAUCGCCACCGGCGCCAAGUAUGCUGUUCCAAACUCUUCUUUACUCUUCAGUGCUAGCGCUGAAGAGUAAAAGGUUUUAC
rnacentral:lncRNA from 1 species